UACGAAGGGUGCAAACGUUGCUCGGAAUUAUUGGGCGUAAAGCGCGCGUAGGCGGCUUGGCAAGUCGGAUGUGAAAUCCCUCGGCUCAACCAAGGAAGUGCAUCCGAAACUGCUGAGCUUGAGUACUUAAGAGGAUCGCGGAAUUCCCGGUGUAGAGGUGAAAUUCGUAGAUAUCGGGAGGAACACCAGUGGCGAAGGCGACUUCCUGGCCUGUUCUUGACGCUGAGGCGCGAAAGCUAGGGGAGCAAACGGA
rnacentral:rRNA from 1 species